UCAGUGUUCACAGGACCAACAGUCAUGGAAAUGCUACUCAGCAUGCUUGUCACAAACAACCUACUUAAAUGUUUUCUGAGGCUAUUGUAUGCCUGAGAUCCUGAGAGCCGGUUCUAGACCAGAGACCAUCCUCUCCCAAUUACACACAUGGGAAGCAAAAGAUAAGGGCUUCUCUGACAAGCCAGCAAUUAGCCUUUGUUCCUGGAUAAUGAUGACAGGCUACCAUGUAAGGUGCCACAUGAUGUGUCCUUGCACAAGGACACAUCAACAUGGACUACCGGAGCCAGGGAUCGAACCGCUGAUCCUCUGAUUGAAAGACUCCUUGAAAAAUCUCUUAUUAUUUUACCAGCGUUUUGGUUACAAUGUCCUCUGUGCUAGUGGGCACAGGUUCCCAGGAAUCGGGGUUAUAUUUGGACUGUCAUCGUGCCACCUACUGAGGCCUUGCUGACACCCACUACUACUACCACUAUCAUUAUUAGUCACAUUACUAUUAUUAUUGCCUGUACUAUUACGCUUAUUGACUUGCUUCUACCCUGGAGUCUUUGUGCUUUCUCGCUUCGCAGGCUUCUAUAAAUCAUGGCUGUACCUGGACCGUGGUCAUGCAUCCUGCUACGGCCCUGCUGACACCGACUGCUACCACCAUUAUUAUUACUAGUCACAUUACUAUUACUAUUACCUGUACCAUUAAGCAUUUUAGCUUUACUUCCACCCUGAAGCCCUUUUUGCUUUCUCGUUCUGCAGGUUUCCAUGAAUCGUUGUGGUACCUGGACCGUAGUCGUGCCUCCUGCUGUGAGCCGACUGACACCCACUGCUACUUCGAUUAUUAUUAUUAAUCACAUUACUAUCCCUAUUUCAUAAUUAUAAUUCUACUAUAAUAAUUGCUGCUGUUAUUAUAAGUAGUCUUAUUAUAUGAAUCAUUUAUGUCAUAUACAUUGAAUGUGUUGUAUCUCUUUUAUGCUAUUAUUCUGUACACAUGACAUCUAUUGCAUUCUGUCCAUCCUGGGAGAAGGAUCCCUCCUCUGUCGUUCUCCCAUAGGUUUCUUCCUUUUUUCUCCCUGUUAAAGGGGUUUUUUAGGGGAGUUUUU